GAUGAACGCUGGCGGCGUGCCUAAUACAUGCAAGUCGAGCGAACGGACGCGAAGCUUGCUUCUCUGAUGUUAGCGGCGGACGGGUGAGUAACACGUGGAUAACCUACCUAUAAGACUGGGAUAACUUCGGGAAACCGUAGCUAAUACCGGAUAAUAUUUUGAACCGCAGGGUUGAAAAGAGAAAGACGGUCUUGCGGUCACUACUAGAUGGAUCCCGGCUGCUUGGGCUGGUUGGUAGGGUAACGGCUUACCACGGCAACGAUGCAUAGCCGACGUGAUAGGGGGGUCGGCCACCCUGGAGCUGAGACACGGUCCAGGCUCCUACGGGAGGCAGCAGUCGGCAACGUUCCGCAAUAGUCGAAAGCCUGACGGAGCAACGCGACGUGAGUGAUGAAGGUGUUGGGAUCGUAAAACUCUGUUAUUGGUGAAGAACAGAUGUGUAAGUAACUGUGCACAUCUUGACGGUACCUAGUCAGAAAGCCACGGCUAACUACGUG
rnacentral:rRNA from 1 species